rnacentral:snRNA from 1 species
AGCUUUGCACAGUGGCAGUAUGGUGGCCAAUGAGGUUUAUCCGAGGCGCGAUCAUUGCUAAUUGAAAAAGACUCCCGCUAAAGCGCUUGAAAGCAGCUUGUCCUUUGGGGU